rnacentral:rRNA from 1 species
UGCAUAUCCCAAAUAGCGGAGGAAAAGAAACUAACAAGGAUUCCCCUAGUAACUGCGAGUGAAGAGGGAAGAGCUCACAUUUAAAAUCUGGCGGUCUGGCGGCCGUCCGAGUUGUAGCCUGGAGAAGCGUCCUCUGCGCCGGACCCGUGUACAAGUCUCCUGGAACGGAGCGUCGUAGAGGGUGAUAAUCCCGUCGUCGACACGGACCUCCGGUUAGCUAUGCGAGGCGCUCUCGAAGAGUCGAGUUGUUUGGGAAUGCAGCUCAAAGUGGGUGGUGAAUUCCAUCUAAAGCUAAAUACAGGCGAGAGACCGAUAGCGGACAAGUACCGUGAGGGAAAGAUGAAAAGCACUCUGGAAAGAGAGUUAAACAGCACGUGAAAUCGCUGAGAGGGAAACGCUUGAAGUCAGUCGCGUCGGCGUUAGGAGGUCAGCCUUCCCGGGAUAAUAACCGUGGGGCGCACUCUCCCGUCGACGGGCCAGCAUCGAUUUCGACCGCCGGAGAAGGGCUCGGGGAACGUGGCACCUCCGGGUGUGUUAUAGCCCCCUGUCGUAUGCGGCGGUCGGGAUCGAGGUUUUUACAUGUUCGCAGCACGCCUUUUUGGCCGGGGCCGUUCGCGGUCCACGUCCGUGCUAGGAUGCUGCGUACGACACGACACGAAU